rnacentral:rRNA from 1 species
UACGUAGGUGGCAAGCGUUGUCCGGAAUUAUUGGGCGUAAAGCGCGCGCAGGCGGUCCUUUAAGUCUGAUGUGAAAGCCCACGGCUCAACCGUGGAAGGUCAUUGGAAACUGGGAGACUUGAGUGCAGAAGAGGAAAGUGGAAUUCCAAGUGUAGCGGUGAAAUGCGUAGAGAUUUGGAGGAACACCAGUGGCGAAGGCGACUUUCUGGUCUGUAACUGACGCUGAGGCGCGAAAGCGUGGGGAGCAAACAGG